rnacentral:rRNA from 1 species
UACAUAGGAGGCAAGCGUUAUCCGGAUUUAUUGGGCGUAAAGAGCGUGUAGGCGGCUUGGAAGGUCAGCUGUGAAAACUCGAGGCUCAACCUCGAGACGUCGGUUGAAACCACCUGGCUAGAGUCCGGAAGAGGAGAGUGGAAUUCCCGGUGUAGCGGUGAAAUGCGCAGAUAUCGGGAAGAACACCCGUGGCGAAGGCGGCUCUCUGGGACGGUACUGACGCUGAGACGCGAAAGCGUGGGGAGCGAACAGG